AUAACAUUAAGAAAAUUACAAAUUACUAUGAAAUUCAAUUCCCAAAGAUUCUUACCAACUCCAUGACAAGAUUUGCAUGUCUUUCCUCCAAAUUCCUUACCUGUAACAAGAAAAGGUAUAAAAUUUCUCCAAAUUUUGAAUCAAAUAAAACCCUUUUUUUAAGAAAAAAGUUGAUAAUUUGAGUUGUUCAAUUUACUUACCUUUUUCUUGUGAUUGUCUGUUCGAGUUUUGAUGACAUGGUACUGUGAAACAAUCAAUUCAUAUUAAUUAGUUUCGUAAUUUGAUUUAUAACAUCAGUUGCAUUGAUUUUGUAGAUAAAUUAAAUUAGAUUUUAGGGUUUAUUAUGUCUAAGCUUUAUGUAAUUACAUAUAAUUACUUACCCCAAAAACAUUGUUAGGAGUCUUUUCAAUGGAGGCUGAAAUGGAGUUUGUAGAAGCCCAAAUUUGCUGGCCUAGUAAAAAUAAUAACCCAAUCACAAAUGGGCUCAAAAAUUAAAAACCUAGCCCAAACAACAUUAACAUUUUCAGCAGAAAUGAGUAAAAGAAACCCUAGGAGCCGCAUGCCUCGGGUGGCCUCCUCGUCUGCCACCCCCAGUCACCAGGCACCUUCAGCGCACGCCUCUGACACUGCCGCCGUUGGCCCUCCACGCGUGUCAGACCACCUGCAGAGAGAAAUGAAGGCAAAGAAAUAAAGAGCAAUCAAUAAUAAUAAAAAACAGUUUGUAAUGGCCUAUAAAAAACAACAAGAGCCAUUUUUAGAGUCUUCGAUUUUCUUUGAAAAAGCAUAACAGAGAUUAGAAAUAAAAAAGAGAACAAAAGGUUACUGUUUUAUUCUUCUUUUUUCUUCGAUUCAUUCAUUUAUUUUAU
rnacentral:lncRNA from 1 species